rnacentral:rRNA from 1 species
UACGUAGGGUGCGAGCGUUGUCCGGAAUUAUUGGGCGUAAAGAGCUUGUAGGCGGUUUGUCGCGUCUGCCGUGAAAAUCCGGGGCUCAACCCCGGACUUGCGGUGGGUACGGGCAGACUAGAGUGUGGUAGGGGAGACUGGAAUUCCUGGUGUAGCGGUGAAAUGCGCAGAUAUCAGGAGGAACACCGGUGGCGAAGGCGGGUUGCUGGGCUGACACUGACGCUGAGGCGCGAAAGCUAGGGGAGCGAACGGG